rnacentral:lncRNA from 1 species
UUCCAAUGAUGCUUUACUUCUUCUUGACUUCCUAAUUUACAGAAAACAAGAAACAUUUCCAUGAAGAUGGCUGAGAGUAUAGCUGCCAAACAGGAAGGAAGGACAGGCAAAUGCAGCAAGAGCAGAAAUCAGCCUGCAAGGAAAUGGCAAGUUAGUAAAAUUGUGAUGACCAUACUCACAGGAGAAGAACUUUGCUGCUUGAGGAAAUACAUUGUUCACCGACAGUGCAAGAAAUAGUGGUCUUGAAAUGAAGCAAGGCAGAAAUAUGAAAGAAAAACCCCUGUAUUUGUUGACAAUGGAAGCUUUGAGUGCCAAGAAUAUUAGCAGAAAAGUAAGUAAACCAAAGUCAUAGAUCUUUAAUCUUCCAGACCUAAGACUUUGAUCAAAGAUCAUUUUCCUA